rnacentral:rRNA from 1 species
GAACGGCAUNCCAAAGAGGGUGAGAGCCCCGUAGGGCCCGGAAAUNGGAAGCAGCGGGACGAGGGUCCGUACUCGUAGAGUCGGGUUGUUUGGGAAUGCAGCCCCAAGUGGGUGGUAGACUCCAUCCAAGGCUAAAUACGGGCGCGAGACCGAUAGCUGACAAGUACCGUGAGGGAAAGGUGAAAAGCACUUUGAAGAGAGAGUUCAAUAGACCGUGAAACCGUUGGGAGGGAAGCUCAGGGUGUCGAGGUUGUCGUGCUCCUUUGGAGUUCAGCUGGUGGUGGUUCACGCUGCUGCCGGUGCACUCUCUGAAGGUGUUGGACCGUCAGUUGGGAAGAGACAGGGGCCUGGUUGUCGGCGGUCGGGAGGUGCGCCCCGGAGCUCCUUGGAGCCCGGGGUGACAUAUAGCCGCUCCGUCGUGGUCCCUGUCCUCUUUCAGGUGCGUUGGAUGUCUGAUCGUCCGGAAUAGGAAGGUGCAGUCUCCCCUCGUGGGAGUUCGGGCCGUUCCUCAGGUUGCCAGGCAUUGUGGUGUCGUGUUCCGUUCUCUCUCCGUUACGCUUGUCGUGCGGGGUUGGGUGCGGCACGUCCUGCAAGCGUCGUGUCCUGUGGGAGCGUGUUCCAAGUACUGUGCCGAGGCGAC